rnacentral:misc_RNA from 1 species
CCCAAUUACCUUCACCAAGAUUUCAAGAAGAAGGAGAUUCUACAGACUGCUGGUAUGAUUGGAAAAUUGCAUUGAUGGGCUAUGGAUGUGGGCUAGUGUUUGGAUUGUCUAUGGGAUAUAUCAUAUUUGCAACAGGAAAACCACAAUGGUUUGUGAGGAUGGUUGAAGGAAAACAAUACAAAAGGGUGAGAAGACCAAAAGAAUUUAG